rnacentral:rRNA from 1 species
CCAUCCAUCCAUCUCACCCUGCAGCCCAAGAUCGGUUACUUCCUGAAGCUAAGCAUGGCUGAGCCUGGUCAGUAUUUAGAAGGGAGACCACAUGGACAAAACUAGGUUACUGUUUGAA